rnacentral:lncRNA from 1 species
UAGAGAAUUUAAUUUCAACUUAUUGGCCAAACUCUAAUAAGUUAUUUAACCUUUAAAGUAGAAGGCAGUUAAAUACUACAAUAUCAAAAAGAUAUCAUACUAGUAAAAUCUUUUAUAUUUAAGAAGGUUUGUACAUAAGAAUUUCUUAAAUAUUUAAGAAUUUCCUAAUAUUCUUGGUUAUAUCAAAACAUAACUAAUUAUUUGCUAGUAAGUUAGAUUUCUAAUAAUUCCAAAGAAAAUCCAUAAUCUCCUCUCAAAAAGAUAUAUUUAUAUCAAAAUUUAACCAUAGCUCUAUAUAUCCAUCUUCAAUAUAUAUAAAGUCUUGAUUUCUAAAAAAUCCCUUUACUUUGUAUAAAAUGCUCAAUUUAUAAUAAAACCCCUUCAAAACAUAUUUUUUCUGUAAACAUUUUCUUCUUUUUGAAUUUUAGAAAUUAAUAUCUCUCGAUCCAAGUAUUUAAUUU